CUCAGCCGCCGCAUCCCCCUCAAAAACCGUGCCACCAGCCAGAUCCAUCCACCUCCUCCCUGUUUUCCGGCGCCCUCCACCUCAUCCUCGCCAUGUGGCGCCGCCUGAGUGGUCGCGCCGCCACCCAGCGUCGCUCCCCUCCAACCGGAGCUGGCCACGUCGCCCCUGCCUCCCUCCUCCACCUCGCGUGGCCCGCAGAGCCCGUCCAAGGCCCGCUCAGGCCCGAAUCGCCGCCGUCCGGGCGCCCGCUUGCCUCCCGGCCCCGCAGCUCUGCUCGAUGGGAUCGAGAGAGAUCCCGAGCGCCGCCGCCUCUCGCCUCCCGCCGGCCACCCGGCAGCCUCGCCGGAGGCAGCAGGCCGCCAUGGACGCCGACCCCGUCGAGGUCUCGUCGCCCCGAGCUCGGCCUCGGGUCAGAUCCGGCCGGAAACGGGGCCCUGCCUCCUCCCGUGGUUGGAUCCGCCCGUCCCUGUCCUCUCCUCGCGCCCCGGCCUCCUCCUGGUGCUCGCCGCCGGCGCCGCCUCCGCUCGUCCUCGUCGGGCGGAGGACGACGCCCUCGCCUCCCCGUCGCGCCCCGUGUGGGCCUCCCCAGGCCCAGCCGCAUCGCGCCCAGCUUCGCAGCCGCGCAGGCCCAGCUCCGCCUCGCCCCUUCGUUGACCGCUCCAGCCUGGCUUCAGCCCAGCGGCCCCUGCCGGCCUUCCACUCCAGCACCUGAGCUGGCCUGCCCCGGCCUGCAUCUCCACCGACCGGCCUGCUAAGGCCCAGGGUUCCGGUAAUGUUGCGAUUGUGAGGAUUCGUUCGACUACUCCCG